rnacentral:rRNA from 1 species
CCUACGGGAGGCAGCAGUGGGGAAUAUUGGACAAUGGGCGAAAGCCUGAUCCAGCCAUGCCGCGUGAGUGAUGAAGGCCCUAGAGUUGUAAAGCUCUUUCGGCGGGGAAGAUAAUGACGGUACCCGCAGAAGAAGCCCCGGCCAACUUCGUGCCAGCAGCCGCGGUAAU